AAAGGGAAACAGCCCAGACCACCAGCUAAGGUCCCCAAUGUCGUACUAAGUGGAAAAGGAUGUGGGGUUUCAUAAACAACCAGGAUGUUGGCUCAGAAGCAGCCACCAUUUAAAGAGUGCGUAAUAGCUCACUGGUCGAGAGACCCUGCGCCGAAGAUUCCCGGGGCUAAAGUACGAAACCGAAGCUGUGGCUGUAUACGUAAAGUAUACGGGGUAGGGGAGCGUUCCCAUAGGGUAGAAGUCGAACUGGAAGGUUCGGUGGACUUGUGGGAAGUGAGAAUGUUGGUAUGAGUAGCGAAAAGAAAGGUGAGAAUCCUUUCCACCGAAAGCAUAAGGAUUCCUGAGCAACGAUCGUCGUCUCAGGGUAAGUCGGGACCUAAUCCGAGGCAGAGAGCGUAGGAGAUGGACAACUGGUUGAUAUUCCAGUACCGGUAGUAAUUGUUUGAGCAAUGGAGUGACACAGAAGGGCAGGCAAGCAUGCGAAUGGAAGAGCAUGUGUAAGCGUGUAGGGUGGUGCAUAGGCAAAUCCGUGCACUGAAAGCCUGAGGCGUGAUGCGGAGUGAGCAGAGAUGCGAGCGAAGUUGUUGACCCCACACUGUCGAGAAAAGCUUCUAGUGAGAGAGCUACCGCCCGUACCGUAAACCGACACAGGUAUGCGGGGAGAGAAUCCUAAGGUGCGCGGGAGAACCCUCGUUAAGGAACUCGGCAAAAUGUACCCGUAACUUCGGGAUAAGGGUAGCCACUGUUGUGAAGUCCCAUGCGGAUGGAGCAUAGAGUGGUCGCAGAGAAGAGGCCCAAGCGACUGUUUACCAUAAACACAGGUGCCUGCUAAAGCGAAAGCUGACGUAUAGGUGCUGACACCUGCCCAGUGCCGGAAGGUUAAGGAAGGAUGUUCGGAGUAAUCCAAAGCAUUCGACUGAAGCCCCGGUGAACGGCGGCCGUAACUAUAACGGUCCUAAGGUAGCGAAAUUCCUUGUCGGGUAAGUUCCGACCCGCACGAAAGGUGUAACGAUUUGGGCACUGUCUCAACGAGGGACCCGGUGAAAUUGAAAUACCUGUGAAGAUGCAGGUUACCCGCGACUGGACAGAAAGACCCCAUGGAGCUUUACUGUAACCUGACAUUGGGUUUUGAUACAUUACGUACAGGAUAGGUGGGAGGCUUGGAAAGCUGGACGCUAGUCUGGCUGGAGCCGACGUUGGGAUACCACCCUUGAUGUAUUGAAAUUCUAACCGCGAGAGUAACGAAAUCCGGGACAGUGUCAGGCGGGCAGUUUGACUGGGGCGGUCGCCUC
rnacentral:rRNA from 1 species